rnacentral:rRNA from 1 species
UGGGGAAUAUUGCGCAAUGGGGGAAACCCUGACGCAGCAACGCCGCGUGAAGGAAGAAGGUCUUCGGAUUGUAAACUUUUGUCUUGUGGGACGAUAAUGACGGUACCACAAAAGAAAGCUCCGGCUAACUACGUGCCAGCAGCCGCGGUAAUACGUAGGGAGCGAGCGUUGUCCGGAAUUACUGGGUGUAAAGGGUGCGUAGGCGGGUCGGCAAGUCAGAUGUGAAAUCUCCGGGCUUAACUCGGAGCGUGCAUUUGAAACUGCAGGUCUUGAGGACAGGAGAGGCAAGCGGAAUUCCCAGUGUAGCGGUGAAAUGCGUAGAUAUUGGGAGGAACACCAGUGGCGAAGGCGGCUUGCUGGACUGUAACUGACGCUGAGGCACGAAAGCGUGGGGAGCAAACAGGAUUAGAUACCCUGGUAGU